AUGAGGGUCAAAGCUACUUUCUUUAAUAGAACAAAGUUUAUUGUCGGUGAUGGCAAUAACACUCGAUUCUGGGAGGAUACUUGGCUAGCUGAUACACCGCUGGCGCUUCAGUAUCCGUCGCUAUAUCGUAUUGUCCAGCGACAUGAUGAUCUGGUUGCAACGAGUUUGCAAUCCGCUCCCCUUAAUAUUCAAUUUAGGAGGGUGCUUGUUGCGGACCAGUGGGAGGCUUGGAUUCAUCUGGUGAGUAGACUGAUAGAGGUUCAGCUUACUCAUCAGCCUGAUCAGUUGUGUUGGAAGCUUACUAGAUCUGGAGAAUUCACAGUCAAGUCGAUGUACAUUGAUGUCAUCAACUCUAGUGUUAUUCCUAGUUCAAAACACGUUUGGAAAGUUAAGGUUCCUCUGAAAAUCAAAGUGUUUAUGUGGUUUGUACAUAAACAAGUCGUUCUAACGAAAGAUAAUUUGAUUAAGCGCAACUGGACAGGUUCUACUAGGUGUAGUUUGUGUGAUCGGGAUGAAACUAUCAAGCAUCUUUUCUUUGAUUGCUUGUUGGCGAGGGUGUUGUGGCGCUCGGUGCAAAUUGCCUUUAACAUUACUCCUCCGAAUUCGGUCAGGUCGUUAUUUGGAAUGUGGCUUGUUGGUAUAGAGGCCGAAACAGCUAGACAAAUUCGAGUAGGAGCAUGUUCGUUGUUAUGGGCAAUUUGA
rnacentral:rRNA from 1 species